AACGCAGAGAGUAUGAGGAUCUUGAGAGUUUGCUGAUCGUGCCGAGGGAGAAGUAGGCGUUCAAUGUCGCAAUUAACACUCACUAUAAGUGGUCGCAGCUGCAUUCCAUCACAAAGACUCUCUAACAGAAGGGGGAGUACGAUCCAGUUAAGCGUACCUGCUUCGGAAUGCUCUUGGACGUAUAUCCACAGGGGUACUUUUACGUCGGUCUCUUGCACAACAUCAUGAUUCACCGGAUCACUGAGAGGCAGUCAAUGGACCACGAGCUAUGGUUUGCCAUUGGCAAGAGCAAGGCGCGACUAUCAAAGCGGGAGUUCUGUCUCAUCACCGGGCUGAAGUUUGGUCCAAUGCCCGAUGUGUUCAGACGAUCAUACGAGGUUGCUGCAGAUGGAAUUCAUGCAAGAUACUGGAACGGGGAGGACAGCGUUAAGCUGCAGGCUUUGCUUGAUACCUUCCGCGGGGGUAACUUUCAGCGACCAAGAGAUGCGACCAAGAUGGCACUCGUCUUGAUCGCGAAUAACAUUUUAUUUGGUCAAGACUACCAUAGACGGGUGACGCCUUAAUUGCUGUCAUUGGUGGAGGACAUCGACGUUUGGAAUGUCUUCCCAUGGGGGCACUAUGUUUGGAAACUGACCUUGGACUACCUUUUGAAGGGGUUCGAAGUUCCUGACUUGAGCGUGACAAAGGAAACUCGGUUACGUUACAACAUUUACGGAUUCGCAUGGGUGAUACAGUUAUGGGCAAUGGAGACAAUUUCGGCCCUCCGAAAAAUAGUUGCCCUCUCUGGUCAGAAGGACAACGUCCACCCAUGAAUGUGCAGAUGGGAUUGCAAUCAGAAGCCAAAAGACUUCUACAGGACAAUUCAGAAGUUAGAGUCAUCUGACCAAUUGUGGGCACUGGAGGCGUUGUAACCCACCACGGAUGAGGCCCUCCGGGAGUAUUUUGUGGACCUUGAUGUCCCGUUAUCAGAGGGCAACGAGUACGUGCCAAUAGGGCACAUGGAGGAUCGGUCAGCUUGGGGCUUAGGUGCGAGGCUAAAAAGGAAAAGCUUGAAGGAGAAAAGAGCCUCUGGUGGCACGAAGAGGAUGCACACCGCCGCUGCUUUAGUUGAUGAGUUGAUGGAUGAAGGGGACGACCAUGGUCAAGGCAGUGAACAGCCAGUAAGGACAAUUGUAACAGUUUUGUGUUCUCCAAUUCCAUUUGUGAUUAUCGAAUAACAUUUCUGUGUUUGCGGUUGGACCAUGGGUCGGCAGCUCCAGAACCACCCACCGGUCUUCCUCAAAUGCAAAGUGGAAACGACCUGUCGUUUACGGAAGCGACGACAGGUCCUCAAGCACCGAUAGGUCCAGCUCAACCGCAGACUGCUAACUAGCCGGCGUAUGCGGAAGCGACAAUAGGUCCUGAAGCACCAAUCGGUUCGGCUCCACCGCAGACUGCUAACGAG